rnacentral:lncRNA from 1 species
AGUGGUUAUCCUUGGAAGGAAUGACUGUUAUUAAUUUCCUAAUCCACUGAUGAGCACAUGGGUGCUCUUUUUUUGUUGUUGUUAAAGCUUUUAAAAGUUUCAACCAUUUUAUUUCUUUCUUAAUUUGUAUUUAUUUAUUUUAGUAUUUUGGCUGUACUGUGAGGCAUGCUGGAUGGUUCUUCAACCAGGGAUGGAACCUGGACCUCUGCAUUGAAAGUGCUGAGUUCUAACCAGUAAGACACCAAGGAACUCCCAGGUGGUCAUUUUUAUUUUUAUAUUAUAUGUGCUAUAUUCUUGUGUGUGCAUGAAAAAUAAUUUUUUAUGGUGGUUAAAUGUACGUGACAUAAAGCUUAGCAUUUUAACCAUUUUUAGCUGUACAAUAUAGUGGCACUAUUUAAGUGAUUCACACUGUUAUGCAGCCAUCCACUAUUAUCCAUUUCCAGAACUUUUUCAUCAUCCCAAACUGUACUUUUGGCGUCACAUCCAAGAAAUAGUGGCCAGAUCCAAUAUCAUGAAGCCUUAACCCUGUGUUUUCUUCUACGAGUUUCAGCUCUUACAGUUAGGUCUUUAAUCCAUUUUAAGUUCAUUUUUAUUUAUGGUAUGAUAAGAGUCCAACAUCAUUCUUUUGCAGGAUUGUACGUUUUAAAAGAGAAAGCAGAGAAUCAGAGCAUAUUAGAAGGGGUCCUUCCCCAUUUACGAAUGAAAACACGGGUAGAAAUAAAAUGAUAAGCCAAGCCCACACAUCUGAUUCAGUACCAGCUGACCGAAAGCCUAACCCUAUUUUCAGUGCACCAGAUAACUGCGCAGGCGGCGAAGCACCCGGCGCGCGAACCCCGAGUUCGGAUCCGCCCCUCGGCGGCGCGCUCGCUCUUAGGUAGCUUUCAAGCACUGGCUCCUCCCUUCCCCAACCCGGGGGCGGGCCCUGGCGGAAAACUUGCGCGGCGGACGGAUAGGCAGGAAAACCAGGUAAGAAUGUAGCGUCUCGGAGGGGCGGGGGCCGUCAGCAACUGGUUGUAAGACGUGGACUCCAGCUCUGUUCUCGCACAUUCCAGGCUGCAUUUUCUCUAGCGCUUUGGGAUGGGGAGGAGCCCUGGCCCGCAGACUUCUAAGGCCUGGGGGCCGGGGCCGGGGGCCUGGAGGCGGGGCUAGGGUGGGCGGGGCCGGGGCCGGGCUGGGGAUAGGGGCGGGGCCGGAGUCGAGGGGCGGGGCGCGGCGUGCCGGCAUGCUCGUCCCGGAUUGGCCGCCGGGGAGUAGCGCGAGGCUUGGCGGGAGUUUUUGCGUCGGCGGCAAGCGCGGCGGGCUGGAAUGGAUCGGCCGCGGCCCGCCCGGCUGUCGCAUGCGAGAUUUUCGAAGAACCAUGCAGGAAGAACACAUUCCGUGAAAGAUGUAAGUUAUCGUUUUAUAUUUUAAUAUAAUGCUCGUAAUUGAAAAUGCAAAAUAACAUUGUGUGGGAGACUCAGUAUUCCGUAGACUCAGUAAGCUC